GACGAACGCUGGCGGCGUGCUUAACACAUGCAAGUCGAACGCUGAAGCUCAGCUUUUGUUGGGUGGAUGAGUGGCGAACGGGUGAGUAACACGUGAGUAACCUGCCCCCUUCUUUGGGAUAACGCCCGGAAACGGGUGCUAUUACUGGAUAUUCACUGGUCUUCGCAUGGGGGUUGGUGGAAAGGGUUUUUCUGGUGGGCGAUGGGCUCGCGGCCUAUCAGCUUGUUGGUGGGGUGAUGGCCUACCAAGGCUUUGACGGGUAGCCGGCCUGAGAGGGUGACCGGUCACAUUGGGACUGAGAUACGGCCCAGACCCCUACGGGAGGCAGCAGUGGGGAAUAUUGCACAAUGGGCGCAAGCCUGAUGCAGCGACGCCGCGUGAGGGAUGGAGGCCUUCGGGUUGUGAACCUCUUUCGCUCAUGGUCAAGCCGCAACAAUGGUUGUGGUGAGGGUAGUGGGUAAAGAAGCGCCGGCUAACUACGUG
rnacentral:rRNA from 1 species